GAACCGUGCGAACGUUGUUCGGAAUCACUGGGCUUAAAGGGCGCGUAGGCGGUCUGCCAAGUCGGGGUUGAAAUCUUUCGGCUCAACCGGAAAAGUGGCUUCGAUACUGGCAGGCUGGAGGGAGGUAGGGGCGGAUGGAACUUCCGGUGGAGCGGUGAAAUGUGUUGAUAUCGGAAGGAACGCCGGUGGCGAAAGCGAUCCGCUGGACCUCUUCUGACGCUGAGGCGCGAAAGCCAGGGGAGCAAACGGGAUUAGAUACCCCGGUAGUCCUGGCCCUAAACGAUGGGUACUGAGUAGUGGACUUGCAUGGGUUCACUGCUGAAGCAAAAGUGGUAAGUACCCCGCCUGGGGAGUAUGGUCGCAAGGCUGAA
rnacentral:rRNA from 1 species